UGGUGGAGUGAUUUGUCUGGUUAAUUCCGUUAACGAACGAGACCUCGACCUGCUAAAUAGUUCGGCGAACUCUUCGGGGUUCGUGCGUCUGACUUCUUAGAGGGACUAUCGGUGACUUAGCCGAUGGAAGUUCGAGGCAAUAACA
rnacentral:rRNA from 1 species